GAAGAUAGGUCAGCCGUAUCCCUGAUCAUCCAGAGAGAUUUGAUGAGGUUCCUCAGGUUCUGAGUGUUGAGAGUCUGACUGGACGCUGUUACUGGGAGACUGAAUGGAGCAGAAAUGAUGCUGUAAUAUCAGUGACAUAUAAAGCAAUCAACAGGAAAGGAGGGAGUGAAGACUGUUGGUUUGGAUUCAAUGACAAAUCCUGGAGUCUGUACUGCACAGUUGACAGAUUCAUUGUCCAUCACAAUAAUAAUGAAACUGUUAUUCCUGCCAUCUGUUCAUCCUCUAAGAGAGUAGGAGUGUAUGUGGACGUGAC